UGGUAGUGGUUAUAUUGAUAAUAAUCUUUUAAUCCUUGCACUCAAUGAAAAUAUCUUUUAUAUUGAUGAAAAUAUGAAAGAAAAAUGAAAAGAUAUGAAUGCCACAUAUCUCUGACAUUGCUGUCUUGGUCAUAUUAGUGAGUCAAGGAUAAACAAGUUAUAUAAAGAAGAGUUCUUUGACCCCUAUGAUUAUGAAUCAUUGAAAACUUGUAAAUUUUAUCUU
rnacentral:lncRNA from 1 species